AACGAACGCUGGCGGCAUGCCUAACACAUGCAAGUCGAACGAGACCUUCGGGUCUAGUGGCGCACGGGUGCGUAACGCGUGGGAACCUGCCCUUAGGUUCGGAAUAACUCCCCGAAAGGGGUGCUAAUACCGGAUAAUGUCUUCGGACCAAAGAUUUAUCGCCUUUGGAUGGGCCCGCGUUGGAUUAGCUAGUUGGUAGGGUAAAAGCCUACCAAGGCGACGAUCCAUAGCUGGUCUGAGAGGAUGAUCAGCCACACUGGGACUGAGACACGGCCCAGACUCCUACGGGAGGCAGCAGUGGGGAAUAUUGGACAAUGGGCGAAAGCCUGAUCCAGCAAUGCCGCGUGAGUGACGAAGGCCUUAGGGUUGUAGCUCUUUUACCCGGGAUGAUAAUGACAGUACCGGGAGAAUAAGCUCCGGCUAACUCCGUG
rnacentral:rRNA from 1 species